rnacentral:rRNA from 1 species
UACGUAGGGUGCGAGCGUUAAUCGGAAUUACUGGGCGUAAAGGGCUCGUAGGUGGCCAACUAAGUCGGACGUGAAAUCCCUCAGCUUAACUGGGGAACUGCGUCUGAUACUGGAUGGCUUGAGAUUGGGAGAGGGAUGCGGAAUUCCAGGUGUAGCGGUGAAAUGCGUAGAUAUCUGGAGGAACACCGGUGGCGAAGGCGGCAUCCUGGACCAACACUGACACUGAGGAGCGAAAGCCAGGGGAGCAAACGGG